rnacentral:rRNA from 1 species
UACGUAGGGUGCGAGCGUUGUCCGGAAUUAUUGGGCGUAAAGAGCUCGUAGGCGGUUUGUUGCGUCGGCCGUGAAAACCUGCAGCUUAACUGUGGGCCUGCGGCCGAUACGGGCAGACUUGAGUUCGGUAGGGGAGACUGGAAUUCCUGGUGUAGCGGUGAAAUGCGCAGAUAUCAGGAAGAACACCUAUGGCGAAGGCAGCUCUCUGGGACGGUACUGACGCUGAGACGCGAAAGCGUGGGGAGCGAACAGG